UGAGCAUCCAACCAGGGAAAGUUUGGCUGUUAAUGCUUGCAAACUCCUUGUGGUUCAUGUAAGCAGUGAAACAAAAUAAAUUGGUGACACAAUCGUCACGAGAGUCUGUGUGAACAUGAACAAAGCAUGAAUCGUAUGCGCGCCUUUCUUUUGGUGUGUCUUGACUUGAGGUGUAUGCGCACCUUUCUUUUGGUGUGUCUUGACUUGAGGUGUUUCGAGGCAUAGUGGAAUGUCCUGGUGGUUCUAUGAGUGGGUGCUUGCACCUGUUAAAGUUUGAACAUAUUGCCCAUUUUUCAGAUCAAAAAACAUUGCCCAUUUUCCCUAAAAGGGUCAAACCUUUAUGAAAAGCACUUGGACCUAUUUACCAAACCAGCGGUAAAAAUAGGGAGCCCCUGCGUGCAUUUUGGGCCUGUCCAAGUGGGGCCUGGGCGCUCCUUUUUUUU
rnacentral:lncRNA from 1 species